GAAUGGAGCUAAGAGUGUUCGUAAUGUAGAAGUUUGAAGAUGGCUACAGUAACACUCCUCACCCCCUAUAUCCCGCUGGCAGGUGGACAUUGACCAGCAAUGGGCAGACCCCAUACUCUCCACAGUGCUGGGAAAUCUCACUUUUACAGCAGAUUGGCCAUUUCAUGUGCGACUGUUUUCAGGUGCUGUAAAAUGCUAUGGCCUUCACAGAGAGAGUUGAUGUCAACAUGUGCCUGGUUGGUGUCCUCUAUCCCUGGCCAUCUUGAGUCAAGGAGGCUCCUGCAUGCUCUGAUGCAUGUACUAAUGUGAGGAUUCUCAGCUGUUUCAGCUCACCCACAGGAAUUCAGCAUCUGAGAGCUGCUAUGAGGGUGAACAACCAGCGCCACUCCAGGUGUUUUGCCUGAGAGAUAGUCUGUGGCCAAAUCCAAUCAAACUGGCCUCUGAUAGACUUGGCAGACUGAUGUACCUGAGCCCUGUGGAGCAGGCAACAAUCCAGAUAUCCUGCCCCCUCAGACCACCGAGACCACCACCUCCCCUCUAUUUUGCUAGUUCUGUUUGACUUGGCUGAUUCAAAGAAAACUGAGUUCUCCUUCAGAUUUUUCUUCGAGGCUGAUUAGAUCUUGUUCUUGUAAGAGUCAUUUGAAACAGGGACUAAACAGUGACAGUCCCUCACUGAUAGCAAUGAACUUAAUCUGAACAAAGACAUGGUGCUUGUUAAUGGAAACGUUAAUAACAGUUCCAUGCUUUUGUAGCUUUAAAUAAUUUUACUGAAUAAUUAAACAGCAAGUUAUUCUUUCUGUUUUGAAAGCAGCCCUCUCACUCUUCAGCUUGUUUUUCUUGUGCUGUUGUUGAUUUUCCUGUGUUUGAUCUUAUGCUUGCUAUAAGAAGGAGAUAUAUAUAUAUAUGAAAGUGCUUUUAAAAAGUAAUAAAUAAAU